UUUCUGGGAUUUUCAAAGAGAAAGAGAGGUCAUGGGAUAUCACCCCAGAAUCAUGCAUUCAGCUCUAUUUCCAUGAUUUUCAAGACCCAAGUGAAAUGCAAACUUGAAUUUGGACUGGAUUUUCAAGAAUAACAAAUGAAAAGUCAGCAAGUGUUCUAAAUACUUUAAUCUUUACCUACAAACUGGGCAAAGUACAGAAGAUAUUUUAGCACCAAGAUAAUUGGACCCAGCAGCACCUGGGAAGUAUAAUCAAACAAGUUUAUCACCACAUAUUAUUGUCUUAUGAUCCUCUGCACUUUAUGGUAUGCAUAAAGAGAAUGGUCAAGACAUCUGGGAAAAUGUUGCUCAUUAUUGAGGCUUUACCAAGACCCAACUCCAGUGCAAGUAGGAGAAAAGGGCAUUGGGAGUAUUUCUUCAACACAGAGAAUGGAGGAAAGAAGAUAAUAAUGUUGAACAGACUCAAAACCAGGCUUCCAAAAUACGUGAGUGCCUUUCUCCUGUACCACUAUCCUUACAUACGCCCACCUGAUCCAGCAG
rnacentral:lncRNA from 1 species